CAAGUCGAACGGGGUCCAUGAGAGCUUGCUCUCGGACGACCUAGUGGCGAACGGGUGAGUAACACGUGAGAAACCUGCCUCGGAGUGGGGAAUAACUCGGGGAAACUCGAGCUAAUACCGCAUACCUUCACAUGAUCGCAUGGUCGAGUGAAGAAAGAAUUUCGCUCUGAGAGGGUCUCGCGGCCUAUCAGCUUGUUGGUGGGGUAACGGCCCACCAAGGCAACGACGGGUAGCUGGUUUGAGAGAACGAUCAGCCACACUGGGACUGAGACACGGCCCAGACUCCUACGGGAGGCAGCAGUGGGGAAUCUUGCGCAAUGGGCGAAAGCCUGACGCAGCAACGCCGCGUGCGGGAUGACGGCCUUCGUGGUUGUAAACCGCUUUCAGCAGGGACGAAAAUGACGGUACCUGCAGAAGAAGCCCCGGCUAACUACGUGCCAGCAGCCGCGGUAAUACGUAGGGGGCAAGCGUUGUCCGGAAUCAUUGGGCGUAAAGAGCUCGUAGGCGGUUCAGUAAGUCGGGUGUGAAAGCUCCGAGCUCAACUCGGAGAGGCCACUCGAUACUGCUGUGACUAGAAUCCAGUAGGGGAGUGUGGAACUCCUGGUGUAGCGGUGAAAUGCGCAGAUAUCAGGAAGAACACCAGCGGCGAAGGCGGCACUCUGGGCUGGUAUUGACGCUGAGGAGCGAAAGUGUGGGUAGCAAACAGGAUUAGAUACCCCGGUAGUCCACACCGUAAACGUUGGGCACUAGGUGUGGGGAGGAUCAACCCUUUCCGUGCCGUAGCUAACGCAUUAAGUGCCCCGCCUGGGGAGUACGGCCGCAAGGCUAAAACUCAAAGGAAUUGACGG
rnacentral:rRNA from 1 species